GUCACUUCCCUUCCCGCGAUGGCGGCACAGGGAGCUGCUGCGGCGGUUGCGGCGGGGACUUCAGGGGUCGCGGGGGAGGGCGAGCCCGGGCCCGGGGAGAAUGCGGCCGCUGAGGGGACCGCCCCAUCCCCGGGCCGCGUCUCUCCGCCGACCCCGGCGCGCGGCGAGCCGGAAGUCACGGUGGAGAUCGGAGAAACGUACCUGUGCCGGCGACCGGAUAGCACCUGGCGUGAGGGCGGGGCCCAGGGCUGGGGGCGGGGCGGAGCUCAGGGCCAGGGGGUGGGGCGGGGCCUGAGGACAGGCUGUCAGUGAGGCCAAGAUCCGGGGGCUGGGAGUGGAGAGGAGGAGGGGCGGGGCUUGAGGAAAGAACGCCGCGUUCCGGGCGCUGAGAAACCAGCCGGGUUGUGGGAGGCUGUUGACCUUGAAUUAUGCCGAGCGACGCCUACAAACCCACCGCUCAGGCCUUCACCAGGAUUGUUCCCAUUCCACUUCCUUGCCCAGUCUUAGGCUUCAUUCCUUUUUCUUGCUAACGCUGCUUCCUCACCCUCUCUUGUCUCUGCGUCUUCUUUUUCCAUUUGUCCCUGGCAGCCAUCCGCAGAGAGAAGACCUUCCAGAAACAACAGGCUUCCCUUUCCUAAAGUUCUGCUGCCUUCUCUCAUUUUCAAAAUUAACCCCAAACUCCUUAGGGUGGCAUUCAUUUUUGUGACCUCUCCAGUUUCUAGCCAACACUAGGAAAGGGCAUUGCCAGGCCAGAACACACUGUGCCCUCUGAAGACCACACGCCCUUUACCACCUGUGCCCUUUGCUUGGAAUGCUUUUUCUUCCCUUUCUCCUUGUUUGCCUGCCUAGCUCCUACUCAUCCUCUUAGCUUCAUAUCCUUUGUGAUGUCAUCCUUGAUUCCCCUUCAGGCAAACACUUCUUGUGAUUCAUCACUGUGUCCUCUGUACCCGGCAACAA
rnacentral:lncRNA from 1 species